UUCUGAAACGAUUGACAGAUUGAGAGCUUUUUCGUGACACGGUGGAUGGUGGUGCAUGUCCGUUCUUAUUUGGUGGCGCAAUUUGUCUGGUUAAUUCCGAUAACAAACUAGAUUCUAGCCUAUUAAAUAGGUGCGUGGUUCUCUGCACCUUGCACCCUUGGGACAAGUGGCUUGUGAUGAGCGAUCCCGCGACAAGCCAGAGAGGACGAGGAAGAAGAAGACGGGGUGGGGCACGCGAGGAGCGCGAGAGAGGAUUCGGGCGGUUGACAAAGGACGGAGCAGACGCAACCAGGCCGGACCUCCGUCGGCGUGACCAGACGUCAAGAGGCCCGACCCACAACCCGCUUCUCACGCAGUCCGGGCGCUAACCUUCCGGAGGUGGACAAGACUGCAUGCGUGGCGCAGUUGAACACCCGCUGCCGCUUCGUGCCACAGACGUACGGGGCCUGAUUCAAGCCUUCGGCCAACGCCCAACUGCCUCGUCUCUACGUCCCUCGGCCCUGACCUCGGUAGACACCUGGUCAUAGGCUGCCCCCAACGUACGGGGCCUGAUUCAAGCCUUCGGCCAUCGAUCAACUACCUCGUCACUACGCUUCUCGGGCCUGACGUCGGUAGACCACGGAUUACCGGCUGCCACGGGUGCUACGCCACAUGGAUUUAAAGGUCGUGAGCGAGGGACAUUUUAGGGGACACUCGAACCUUAACUCUAUUUGUUGAAGUGAUGUAAAUACUUUUGUAAAUAUUUUCUUUCCAUAUUUCUCCAGUGCAAUGUGAAUUAUCCCAUAACGCAUCCUCGUGACUUCUGUCAUUUCUUUCUAACAUCACGAACCUCACGACAGGCUCCUAGCCGCACGAAACAGACCAAAAACAGCUUUGUGAUGCCCUUAGAU
rnacentral:rRNA from 1 species